CCAUCGCGUCGACCCCCACGCCGACGGCCUCUGCUCGUCGGUCAGCUACUGCUCGCCCCUCCGUCGCACGCCGUGUGGGGUCACCGCUGACGUAUAGCAGCGCCGAGUCCGGUGCCUGCUGUCGCUGCCCAUUGUGGAUGUUCGGUGGCUGCUCGAUGGUCCCCGAACAGCUCCGAAACGACACCGCGCAGCCCCGAAACCAAUCCGAACCACCCCGCAAGAUAAGUUCUCGCACUCAAAUUAUGUUUAUUUUCGUUUUUAGCUUUCAAUUACACUGUGAUGGGUGUUCGAUUGUUGAUGAGAGUUUAUUCGCAUUAAUUGUGGGAGAUUGGUGUUAAACUUGUUGUGUAUUGGUUAAUAUUACUUGGAAAGAUUAUACUUUCAAAUUAUAUAUGCAUAUGCUUGUACAUAUAUUGAAAGAAAAGAAAGGAAAGGAAAAUCUAAUUCCAGUUCGGAGCUACUCUUGUUGAUGUACCCGAUUUUCUUUAGAACGAAAGAUGUAUUAAAAUAAAUUUUUGUUGGACUUUUAUCGGAUGUAUCGGACAUUAAAAUUUUGAUUUUGGGAUCUUAUUUAUUUAUUUAUUUAGAUAA